AUUGAACGCUGGCGGCAUGCCUUACACAUGCAAGUCGAACGGCAGCGGACCUUCGGGUGCCGGCGAGUGGCGAACGGGUGAGUAAUAUAUCGGAACGUACCUUUCAGUGGGGGAUAACGUAGCGAAAGUUACGCUAAUACCGCAUAUUCUGUGAGCAGGAAAGCAGGGGAUCGCAAGACCUUGCGCUGAUUGAGCGGCCGAUAUCAGAUUAGCUAGUUGGUGAGGUAAAGGCUCACCAAGGCGACGAUCUGUAGCGGGUCUGAGAGGUUGGUCCCCCACAUUGGUACUGAGACACGGACCAGACUCCUACGGGAGGCAGCAGUGAGGAAUAUUGGUCAAUGGGCGGGAGCCUGAACCAGCCAAGUCGCGUGAAGGAAGAAGGAUCUAUGGUUCGUAAACUUCUUUUGCAGGGGAAUAAAGUGCAGGACGUGUCCUGUUUUGUAUGUACCCUGAGAAUAAGGAUCGGCUAACUCCGUGCCAGCAGCCGA
rnacentral:rRNA from 1 species